rnacentral:tRNA from 1 species
GCUGAUGUAGCUUAGCUGGUAGAGCAAUCGAUUCGUAAUCGAUAGGUCAGGAGUUCAAAUCUCCUCAUCAGCA